UAGCUUAGCUGGUAGAGCAAGGCUUUAACACUGCCAGGGUUAUGAGUUUGAUCCUCACAGCUGCCA